GUAACGAGAAAGGACAACAUCAUUUCCGUCCCCUUGGACAAGCUUCAUAUCUCACCCAGAGUCACAGAUAUCCCUGAAUAUUGAAUCUGAAUCUAUUAAAAAGGCGUGAGGGUUUCUUAAAAUGCCAUUCAGUGCACAGUGCAUGCAGAGCUGGGACUGUAGGUGGUUAAAGGAAUUUCCCACUAGUCAGAGGACACAGAAGAGGAGGAAUCAGUACAGCACAAGAGAGCAGCAGACGUGGCCAAGAGAAGUUCAACCCUCAGGAUGAAACGCUAAGAAGUUUGUAUUUGAUUAUAAUGUGAUGAAGUCAGCUUUCAGCGUCUCUGUCCUAGGAACACUUGCAUCAGGUCACAGCGGUCCUAGCAGAUAUUGUUUGAAGACUGACAUGGAUUUUUGUUUGACAGGGUCCUGUUCCCUUGGCCUUGCUACAAGCAGCAUUUCUUGGCAAAAUCAAGAAAUAUAUAAAGAUGGAUGAGUCUGUGCUGCAGAGGAUCAGAAUAACACAUAUGUGUAUAUAUUUUGUCACAUUAUAUUAGGAUCCAGGAGAGAUGGUAUCAAGAUAUUUUAUGCAACUAGAUGAGCUAACAGUGCCUGCCUCGGGGCUGGAGGUUUAGCUCAGCGGCAUAAGCACCUGCCUUGCAAGCAGGCAGUCGUGAGUUCGAUCCCCGGUACCGAUAAAAAGGAAAAAGACAACAAAACAAACAAACAAACAAAAAAAAAACAGUGCAUGCCUCGCUUUUGUGUGUAGCCUCCAAGGAAGAAAUCUGAUGCUUUACGGCUAGCUCAGCCCUCAGCUUCAGAGUGGCCUCUAAAGAAACACUGGUAGAGAAAUCAAGAUUCUACACUGUUAUGGUUUGAUAACUAGUGGUCAACUUAAUGCCAGCUGGAUUACAUCAGCAUGCAUUGAGAGAAGAUGCUCCACCUGAGGAGGGUUGUCAGGAUAAAUAGGUGGAGAAAAAGAGAGGUGUUGGGAGGGAUUGAGGCAUUAAGGAGGCAUUAUGGGUUCUCCUACGAGUUGCUGUCUGAGCUGUUGGUUCUCCUGGAGAAGCUUUGGUCCUCACAUCGAGCAUUGCUUCCUGGCUCCGGAGGGGAAGACAUGUGCUGCUUGGUCUCCAGGAUAAACUCGUCACGCUGGCUUCCUGGCACGUACCUGACUGUGCUUGUCACUGGAGGAGCUCAGGGCCUCCGUGUCGCUGAGGACAGCUGUGGUGCCUUUUAGGACAGCCCCGCUCUUUGUUGUGAGUGUGACUUCUCGGCUCCAAUGUAAAACCCUCAUCCCACCAGCACAGCUCCUUCAUCCUGCUGGCAUAGACUUUCUGGCUUCCACCGCUGACCCUUGGGUCUUCCCGUCACGAAUCCGUAAAAGAGACUGACGAGUCCUUCUUGUCACGAAUCCGUAAAAGAGACUGACGAGUCCUUCUUGUGGGCUCUGGACUUCCAGUUGGACUCAUGGAGGCGUUGUCCUGAGCUCUGGGUUUUUAUCUCAUGUGGGACAUUGCCAUGGGGUUGACCUAAUAAUCUAUGUCGUUGGUGUUGCGGAUAGAUUUCCUGCAUUCUCCUGUGUUAACUUCCGGUGACCAUUAUAAAAAUAUUAUAAACUCCA